rnacentral:lncRNA from 1 species
AACAAAUAUCAUUCAAUGUGAAGGAAAAAGAAUGAAAACCAGACGAUUAAAGAAAAAUAAAGGGAGCUUUAGGGGCCACGAGCAGGAGCAAAGCAAAAGCAGCCGCCAGGAAUUUGAUCUUCAGGUAUCAUACCGCCGCCUUUACUCGUAUCAAUUCCUUCAAGCAUCUUUACCACUUCCUCCAUCUCUGGUCGUCUCUGCGGAUUCCCAUCCCAACAUUUCUUCAUUAUAUUCGCCAAUACCGUCGGACAGCAUCUCGGAAUCUCCGGUCUCAGAUUCUGUUAGAAAACAAGUUUCAGAAUUUUGUUCUACGAAAAGGUACGGCAUUUUAAGGGUUGUCAUAGGUCAAAACUUGCAUGUAAGACAACAGCUGAAGAAACAUCGACAAAGCUAAGAUCAGGAUAAGGCAUGUCACAGCAGUAGAUUUCCCAUAAACAUAUUCCAAAGCUAUAAACAUCACACCUUCUGUUGUAUGGCUUGCCAUCGAUAACCUAUGAAGAAACUCUAAUUUUAUAUGAUUCCUGUUUUAGAAACAGAGAAAGAGACCGUAGAGAAUGGUUUAAACUGUUACCUCAGGAGCCAUGUAUCCAAGAGUACCCGUUUCUCCAGUCAUGUCCUUUGGAUUCAGAGCUUCCACUCUCGCUACUCCAAAAGCUGCUAUUUUCAGAUUACUUUGAACAUCCAAAAGCACAUUCUCUGUUUUCACAUCACGGUGCACAAUCUUCUCUGAGUGCAGAUAGCUUAGCCUGCAACAAGCAGCCUUACCUGUAGAUGAGGCUGCGCAACCCAAGAUGUUGGCUGACUACAACCGUCCAGAUCAGUUCUACACCAAUAGAUCAGCCAUUCGUCCUCCCACUAUUCAGAGGGAUUUUGAGUUGAAGGCGCAGUACUACACACUCGUGGGACAUAUACCCUACCAUGGAUUAUCUCACGAGCAUCCUAUGGACCAUCUGGAGAGGUUCGAGGAUCUGAUAUCUGCUAUUAAAGUCAAAGGAGACCAUGAGGAUUAUCUCCUAUGCAAGCUCUUCAAGUUCUCUCUUGCUGGAGAAGCUUCUCAUUGGGUUAAGCAGCUACCACCAGGAUUUCUUAGAUCCUGGAACGAUAUCAAUAAUGCAUUCUUAUGCAAUUUCUUUGAUGAUGCACGUGCUGAAGACUUGAGGAGCAAGAUUGCUACAUUCACUCAGGAGCCUGCAGAAUCAUUCAAAAGCUCUUGGAUCAGAUUCAAGUCUUAUCAGAGAGACUGUCCACACCAUGGAUUCAAUGAAGUACAACUACUCAGUACUUUCUACAGAGGCAUCGCGGUGCAGUACAAUAUGGAUCUUGGUGCUUCCAGCAAUGGAAACUUCAACACCAGGAAUCUAGGAGAGGCAGUGAAGGUCAUUGAAAACCUAGCAUCUAGCAACAGCACCAAGAAUACUGAUUUUGAGAGGAAGAAGUCUGCCACCAUCCUUGGGAAUGAUCAGAUGGAUGAGGUGCAAGCAACCUUAAAAACUAAGAGCACCUCCAUCCAUAGGAGCCUCUUAUGGGUUCUUUAGAUUAAUUUAAAAGUUAAAAAGGUGAUUUGAAAGAUUAAAAACCUUGGUUAGUGGUAAUUAAUUUUUUGACCUCCAUUGGAAGAACCUCAUAGGGGUUCUUAAUUUUUUUUUUUAAUUAGAAUGAUUUAAAUAAAAACAUACAUAAAAGUUUUAAUAAAAAUGACAUAAAAGCAUAUUACAAAUACAAAUACAAAUCGUAAAUGAGAAAAAACCGAUUAGUUGAAAUCUUGAUUUGUUCCAAAUUUUUGCCAUAUAUGCUCAACCAAAUCGCUUUUCAAUUGUUGAUGUAUUUUAUUAUCACGAACUCGAUUCCGAAUGCUCAUCAUAUUGCCUAGAUUUGAAGGCAUAUCAGUAGAAUACGUGAAAUCCACUUGUGAACUUCGAUUUGAUUCCAGUUGUGCGAAAACUGAUACAUCAAACUGAGUGUACCCAUCUCGUUCGUCUUCUACGAUCAUAUUGUGUAGUAUGAUACAUGCUCUCAUUAUCUUUCCAAUUGUGAUUUUAUCCCACAAAAGAGCAGAAUUUUUUACUAUGGCAAAUCGAGCUUGCAAGGCCCCAAAAGCACGCUCGACAUCUUUACAUACAGCCUCUUGAUGUGUAGCUAUUAAGGAUGCUUUCGGACCUUGCGGAAGUGGAAUAGAUUGGACAAAAGUAGCCCAUUUUGGUUAUAUACCAUCUGUGAGAUAGUAACUCAACUGGUACUCGUGUCCGUUGACAAUGUAAUUAACUUUUGGAGCUCGACCUUGUAAGAUAUCGUUUAAUGUACCUGGAGGUCCGAAAACACAUGCCAUAUCCAGAGAUCUUGUUCAACCAAGCACUUAUCAUAACAAGAUCUUCAGUUGGUGACCACUUCCUCCUUUCUUUACGGUCCGACACAACGAGUUCAUCUUCGUUUCCAUCGUCAGCCCACUGUGUACCGAAGACAGACGCAUCCGAGGAAGACAGUUCUAUACUAGGUUCGGGAGUGACAACGGAGAAGGAGGUGUUUGGUUGUUGACUGUGUAGGAGGUUUUGAAAGCUCCCAGGCUGAGUAAAUGGAUCCAUAGCGAAUGGGAGAAAGGAAUUAUGAAAGAAGAAGGAGAUAUGAGUUAUGAAAGAAGAAGGAGAUAUGAAUUAUCACAAAAGAAGGAGAUAUAAAUUUCGAAAGAAGAAGGAGAUAUGAAAAGAGAAAGGGAGAGUUGCUCGAUUUUUAAUGAAACGUUAAGGUUGGUUUAGUGUGUGUUUUAAUGGCAAUCAAUGCCUUCACCUAAAACUAUAACAGCCAACAACACUAAAUGUAAAUCACUUAAAGCCUACCUAAAACUAUAACAACCAUCAAUAUCUACCAGCUACCAGCACACAAAGAACAUUUAAUUCCUCCUAAUUAAUAUCUAACAUCUUCUUAAAAGGAAAGUGUACUAACCUCGGGCUUUGAUGAGGUUGAAUCCUUCUGAGAGACUCGCGUGGGUUCCGGAAUGAAUGAAACACUCCAUUGCCUCUUCCACACAACACCGAUCCUUACACAACCACCAAAGACAGAAUAGAGCAAAACGUAUGAGUACAAUUGAGUAAAAUCUAAGCAUCGAGUACUAAAAACAGAGCAACAUCUAUGAAUCAUGAUUCAUGAAUCAUGUUUGAACCAAUGUAAACUAUUCCAUAUGAAUGAUCCGAUGUAACCACAUUCCAAUUAGAGGUAAAGCUAUUCCAAUUACGAGGCAGAAGACAAUCAGAUCACAUUCAUCUAUCUCAAGAACAUAAACAAGGAUCGAACACAAACAAGAUUCUAAAACAUUAACCUGAUCUAAGAUUGUAAAACACAUCUCAAAAAGAUUCCACCUUUCUCGACAAAACAAUGAGAUCACAACAAUUUAAAAAAAAAAACGAGCGAGAGAUAGAGAAGAAGAGAGGCACUUACACUCGGGAUCGAGAGAGAAGACCGAGCGAGAAAGACGAUGGAGCGAGAGAGACGACGGAGCGAGAGAGGCGACGGUCUCACAGAGAAGAUGAACCGACCGAGAAGAAGGGGUGAGACAGACGACGGAGUCAUCGACAGAGACCACGGCUUCAGGGAGACAACGGAAUGAGACAGACGACGGAGUCAUCGAGAGAGACGACGGAGAAGAUGGGCCGACGACUAGGAGCGAGAGAGAGGACGCGGUGAGACAGACGACUAGGACCGAGAGAGAGGACGGAGCCAGAGAGACGAUGGAGAAGAUGGGCCGACGGAGUCGCCGGAGUUUGCGAAACGGAGCGGUGCGACAGAAGAUUGCUUCAGAGCGAGACGGAGACUCCAAGAGACGAGAUUGUAUUUGGUUUCAUCGAAACCCCAACCAAAGGAAAGAGAGACAAAACAGAAGCGGUGCAAUGAGGGAGUGCCACGUAGGCGCCUCUUACCAAUUCUAAAAAACCCGAAUUUGGCACCGAUUCUCCUAAUUUUGGGCCUUUUUGAUUUAUUUUUUUCCAGCUUUUGGGUUUAGAACUCUAUAGGAACCCAUUGAUGGAGUUGGUCUAAGUCUUCAUAGGUUCUAUGUAUAUUCAUUGUCUGUUCAUGUGUUAAAAAAUUUCUGUACUAAUGAAAAUGUUAGAUAUAUAUUUUUAAUAUUACUAGAGAUGAACUUCCAAUUUGAAAAUUCAAAUCGAUGAAAAUUUAAAUGUUAGAUAUAUAUUUUAAUAUAUUUUUAAUAUUUAUCAACUCCUUUCUUAAAAUUUCGGGUCAUUCUUUUGGCUUCAUUGGGGCCUCUUCUUAUCCUUUGAGGUUUUCCUUUGUCGCGUGGCCGGAUUCGGGAGUAAACUACUGCAUGCGCUUGACUAUGAUCUUUCCAUGCUCACAGCUAGCAUCAGCUCCUUUGCGUUCUUUAAGUGCUCACCUGUGUGAUUUUAUUGUUUCUAUUUCAACGAAGAUCUCUCAUCUAGCACAUGUAUUAGUCUUGCAUGCCUCCUCCAUUGUCAUUUAUCGGAUUUGUCUUUGGAAAAUAUUUUCUAAAUGGUAUUUUCCUUGUCGUCAAGUUUUCCUUGUGGUAUAAGAAGAGUUUUGGACCUAUGAACUAUAUUGUUGUUGUUUGUUUCUUCAAUUAAAUUAUAAAUUGUAGUCCUUAAUAAUGGUUAGGUUAGAUUCUUUGAUUUUUGGGCCUUGUCUUAGUCUCUAGGAUCCGAAAUGCUUUUUAAACAAUCCAGAUAUCAAGUUUCUUUGUAAUCAAACUAUAAAGUCCUGACUGUUCAUGGCUAAUGGACCAUCCACGCCCACUCACUCGGCCGUGGUCCCCAUCCCAGGCGACAGGCCGUGUGUUAAUUUUUCGGAAACUCGAAAUUCAUGUUUACUAACCAUACAAUCACAACAUGAUUUUUCUCUGUGUUUUGGUUUCACUCGCACGAUAUGGAAAAUCACUUCUAGAUAGAUCAUCCAUCUUUCUACUACUCCAGCUCAAGCAUGUUUAACUUUGAAGUUUUAAACGGAUAUGUGUCCGAAAAGACAAAUGUAUUUUAGUGACAUAGAUAGCUAAAUUAAUUCUUUCCACUUGUACCAGAAAUCGCGAUGUUACACAAAUCUUCAGUAGUUAAUGAUAUUUCUAUUCAUAGCCAAAAAAAGAAAUAAGUAAACAAAAUGCAAAGAGAGGAAGGAACUUAGAUCUAGUUAGUGACAAUCACAAAAAAAAAACGAGAAACAAUAAAAAAUGCUUUGUUUUUUUUUUUUAACUUUUGUUCACACCACACAAAACCAUGACUUUAUAUUUUUGUUCAACUUUGAAUAUUCGCAACGACCAAAACAAAAUUGAGAAAAUAAAGGAUGUUUCUUGGAGUAGAAGAAACAAAUAUCAUUCAAUGUGAAGGAAAAAGAAUGAAAACCAGACGAUUAAAGAAAAAUAAAGGGAGCUUUAGGGGCCACGAGCAGGAGCAAAGCAAAAGCAGCCGCCAGGAAUUUGAUCUUCAGGUAUCAUACCGCCGCCUUUACUCGUAUCAAUUCCUUCAAGCAUCUUUACCACUUCCUCCAUCUCUGGUCGUCUCUGCGGAUUCCCAUCCCAACAUUUCUUCAUUAUAUUCGCCAAUACCGUCGG